rnacentral:misc_RNA from 1 species
UUUCCGUAGGUGAACCUGCGGAAGGAUCAUUAUUGUAUAACCGAGGUGCGAGGGCUGUCGCUGACCCGAAAGGUCGUGCACGCCCGAGUGCCCUCACACACAUCCAUCUCACCCCUAUGUGCACCACCGCGUGGGUCCCCCUUUGGCUUGUUCGGAGGGGGGCUUACGUUUUCACACAAACUUUGUAUGCAGUGUAGAAUGUAUUUUUUGUUUUUGCGAUCACGCAAUCAAUACAACUUUCAACAACGGAUCUCUUGGCUCUCGAAUCGAUGAAGAACGCAGC